UACAGGGGGUGCAAACGUUGCUCGGAAUCAUUGGGCGUAAAGCGCACGUAGGCGGUUCGUUAUGUCGGAUGUGAAAGCCCUUGGCUUAACCGAGGAAGUGCAUCCGAAACUGGCGAGCUAGAGUACGAAAGAGGAUCGCGGAAUUCCCGGUGUAGAGGUGAAAUUCGUAGAUAUCAGGAGGAACACCGGUGGCGAAGGCGGGUCUCUGGGCCGAUACUGACGCUGAGGAGCGAAAGCGUGGGGAGCGAACAGG
rnacentral:rRNA from 1 species